UACAGAGGGGGCAAGCGUUAUUCGGAAUUAUUGGGCGUAAAGGGCACGUAGGCGGCCUGACAAGUGGAUGGUGAAAUCCCUCGGCUUAACCGAGGAACUGCCAUCCAGACUGUUUGGCUUGAGACCGGGAGAGGUGAGUGGAAUUCCCAGUGUAGCGGUGAAAUGCGUAGAUAUUGGGAGGAACACCAGUGGCGAAGGCGGCUCACUGGACCGGUACUGACGCUGAUGCGCGAAAGCGUGGGGAGCGAACAGG
rnacentral:rRNA from 1 species